AUGAUGCAUGAGAUGGGGCAGAACACAGCUCGUCCCACAGCUACAUUGACUGCAAUUCUGACUCUCUUUAAAGAGUAAAGGGACUGCAGCAGAGGGGUGGAUAGAGGAUUUCCACCUAUCCAACAUCACCACUCGGGUACUCAGGAUCUCCUUGAAUGUCAACAUCAUCAGGCACACAGAAGAAACCAUCAUGGGUGCCGCUAUCAAAAUGCAGCAGUAUCAAGAGAAGCAAGACAAGUCAUCCCCUUCCCCAGUGAAACAUUCUGGACUGACCAG